GCAACAGCGCAAGGGCGAUGAACCAGCAUCAGCAUCAGAGAUCCGGAGCAUCAGUGUUCAACCCACGCAGCUGGAUCACUGAAAUGAUGAAGCGUUGCGUUGAAUCUCAUCAGGUCCUUCUGGGUCAGAGACAUUUUGUGACAAAGUCAAGAUAACUGAAACCGACAUCAGAAGGAAAAAUCUUCAAAGAGACAGCACAAGAAAGGAUGUACAUAGUGAAUGAGAAAUUAUACCUUUCUGACAAUAUGAAUCCUGCAUCCUGCUGACUCAAACUGGGCACAAGAAUUGCAUGGUUUGUUUGGAGGAGAGCAUACCCAAAGGGACUGUCUGAGUGAGUCGAUGAACAUGAGCAUUAAAGAGGAAAAGCGAGACGAUGGAUGGAUGAAAAGAUGGAUGGUUGCGUGGAAGAGCUUGAGGGCUUUUCUGAGAGGAGACACUACUGUUACAUGAUCCAGCAAGAAGCACAUCCAAAGAGGUAUUUCACUCAAAAACAUCAAAUUUCUCACUCAUGUGUUGCAUGAAAUCAAUAUAUUGUUCUGUGGAACACAAAAGUGGACUUUUUUGACAGUUUAUAGUGAAAGAUUAUAAAAGUAGUCCGUUUGACUCAUUCUCUGUGCUUUAAGUCAUCUAAAGCCGUAUUAUAACAUUAUGUGAUGAAAAUAGAAAAACUAAAGUCAUUAUUUCCUAAUAAUCUUGGUGUUUCUGGUAAAAUAUGUAAAUGACUCAGCUACAUCCCUCACAUACACACCUAGACAUGCACAGAACUAAUAAUAAACUCUUCGA